rnacentral:misc_RNA from 1 species
GAUGAAGAACGCAGCGAAAUGCGAUAAGUAAUGUGAAUUCAGAAUUCAGUGAAUCAUCGAAUCUUUGAACGCACAUUGCGCCCGUCAGUAUUCUGGCGGGCAUGCCUGUUCGAGCGUCAUUACGCCCCUCAAGUCCCCUGUGGACUUGGUGUUGGGGAUCGGCGAGGCUGGUUUUCCAGCACAGCCGUCCCUUAAAUUAAUUGGCGGUCUCGCCGUGGCCCUCCUCUGCGCAGUAGUAAAACACUCGCAACAGGAGCCCGGCGCGGUCCACUGCCGUAAAACCCCCCAACUUUUUAUAGUUGACCUCGAAUCAGGUAGGACUACCCGCUGAACUUAAGCAUAUCAAUAAGCGGAGGA